AUUGAACGCUGGCGGCAGGCCUAACACAUGCAAGUCGAGCGGAGCGGCGGACGGGUGAGUAAUGCCUAGGAAUCUGCCUGGUAGUGGGGGAUAACGUCCGGAAACGGGCGCUAAUACCGCAUACUAUCAGAUGAGCCUCGGUCGGCUUCGCUCGUUGGUGGGGUAAAGGCCUACCAAGGCGACGAUCCGUAACUGGUCUGAGAGGAUGAUCAGUCACACUGAAACUGAGACACGGUCCAGACUCCUACGGGAGGCAGCAGUGGGGAAUAUGGGACAAUGGGCGAAAGCCUGAUCCAGCCAUGCCGCGUGUGUGAAGAAGGGCUUCGGAUUGUAAAGCACUUUAAGUUGUGAGGCGUUACCCGCAGAAGAAGCACCGGCUAACUCCGUGCCAGCAGCCGCGGUAAUAC
rnacentral:rRNA from 1 species